GACGAAGGGGGCAAGCGUUGUUCGGAAUUACUGGGCGUAAAGCGCGUGUAGGCGGUCGCUUAAGUCAGGUGUGAAAGCCUUGAGCUCAACUCAAGAAAUGCACUUGAUACUGGAUAACUAGAGGACCGGAGAGGAUAGUGGAAUUCCCAGUGUAGUGGUGAAAUACGUAGAGAUUGGGAAGAACACCAGUGGCGAAGGCGGCUAUCUGGACGGUUUCUGACGCUAAGACGCGAAAGCGUGGGGAGCAAACAGG
rnacentral:rRNA from 1 species